UCUUUGGUAGUUCUGUGGUUAGGACUCAUGCUUCCACUGCAGGGGACCUGGGUUCAAUUCCUGGCCAGGGAA
rnacentral:tRNA from 1 species